CAGUCGCCGCGGGAAUACGUAGGUGGCAAGCGUUGUCCGGAAUUAUUGGGCGUAAAGGCUCGCAGGCGGUUUCUUAAGUCUGAUGUGAAAGCCCCCGGCUCAACCGGGGAGGGUCAUUGGAAACUGGGAAACUUGAGUGCAGAAGAGGAGAGUGGAAUUCCACGUGUAGCGGUGAAAUGCGUAGAGAUGUGGAGGAACACCAGUGGCGAAGGCGACUCUCUGGUCUGUAACUGACGCUGAGGAGCGAAAGCGUGGGGAGCGAACAGGAUUAGAGACCCCCGUAGUCCCUGUCUCUUAUACC
rnacentral:rRNA from 1 species